AUUGAACGCUGGCGGCAUGCCUUACACAUGCAAGUCGAACGGCAGCACGGGUGCUUGCACCUGGUGGCGAGUGGCGAACGGGUGAGUAAUGCAUCGGAACGUACCGUGUAAUGGGGGAUAACGUAGCGAAAGUUACGCUAAUACCGCAUACGACCUGAGGGUGAAAGCAGGGGAUCGCAAGACCUUGCGUUAUACGAGCGGCCGAUGUCAGAUUAGCUAGUUGGUGAGGUAAAGGCUCACCAAGGCGACGAUCUGUAGCGGGUCUGAGAGGAUGAUCCGCCACACUGGGACUGGGACACGGCCCAGACUCCUACGGGAGGCAGCAGUGGGGAAUUUUGGACAAUGGGGGCAACCCCGAUCCAGCCAUGCCGCGUGAGUGAAGAAGGCCUUCGGGUUGUAAAGCUCUUUCGGCCGAGAAGAAAUCGCACAGGCUAAUACUCUGUGUGGAUGACGGUACCGGCAUAAGAAGCACCGGCUAACUACGUGCCAGCAGCCGCGGUAA
rnacentral:rRNA from 1 species